rnacentral:rRNA from 1 species
UGGGGAAUAUUGGACAAUGGGGGAACCCUGAUCCAGCGAUGCCGCGUGAGUGAAGAAGGCCUUCGGGUCGUAAAGCUCUUUAGGUUGGGAAGAAGUAUGUUGAGGUAAUAUCUCAGCAUAUUGACGGUACCGACAGAAUAAGCACCGGCAAACUCUGUGCCAGCAGCCGCGGUAAUACAGAGGGUGCAAGCGUUAAUCGGAGUUACUGGGCGUAAAGGGCGCGUAGGCGGUGUGAUGAGUGUGAUGUGAAAGCCCCGGGCUUAACCUGGGAAGCGCAUCGCAAACGAUCAUACUGGAGUAGAUGAGAGGGUGGCGGAAUUUCCGGUGUAGCGGUGAAAUGCGUAGAUAUCAAGAGGAACACCUGAGGUGAAGACGGGUUGCUGGGCUGACACUGACGCUGAGGCGCGAAAGCCAGGGGAGCAAACGGGAUUAGAUACCCCCGUAGUCCCUGAGCGGGCUGGCAAGGCGCAU